rnacentral:rRNA from 1 species
AGUGAACGCUGGCGGUAGGCCUAACACAUGCAAGUCGAACGGCAGCACAGUAAGAGCUUGCUCUUACGGGUGGCGAGUGGCGGACGGGUGAGGAAUACAUCGGAAUCUACUUUUUCGUGGGGGAUAACGUAGGGAAACUUACGCUAAUACAGCAUACGACCUACGGGUGAAAGCAGGGGAUCUUCGGACCUUGCGCGAAUGAAUGAGCCGAUGUCGGAUUAGCUAGUUGGCGGGGUAAAGGCCCACCAAGGCGACGAUCCGUAGCUGGUCUGAGAGGAUGAGCAGCGACACUGGAACUGAGACACGGUCCAGACUCCUACGGGAGGCAGCGGUGGCGACUAGUGGCCAAUGGGCGGAAGCCUGAUCCAUCCACACCGCGUGGAUGAAGAAGGCCUUCGGGUUGUAAGGCCCUUUUGUUGUGAAAGAAAAGCAGCAGGUUAAGACCCCGCUGUUCUGACGGUACCCAAAGAAUAAGCACCGGCUAACUUCGUG